UACGAAGGGUGCAAACGUUGCUCGGAAUUAUUGGGCGUAAAGCGCACGUAGGCGGCAUUGCAAGUCGGAUGUGAAAUCCCUCGGCUUAACCAAGGAAGUGCAUCCGAAACUGCUGUGCUUGAGUACUUAAGAGGAUCGCGGAAUUCCCGGUGUAGAGGUGAAAUUCGUAGAUAUCAGGAGGAACACCAGUGGCGAAGGCGGCUUCCUGGACACCAACUGACGCUGAGACGCGAAAGCGUGGGGAGCAAACAGG
rnacentral:rRNA from 1 species